GGGGACUUCAGCCAUCAGGGCUCCGAGGAUGUUGUGGUGGAGCCAUGAAAAAUAAAAGCUGACAGAUAAAGCUGAAAGCAAAAAGAUACCUAUGUCAUUUUGGGCAAAAGCAGAGCUGUUGGCACCAUCCUGGUUAAAUUCUUGACGUGAUUAACUGCUUUUACUGCUCUGUCUCCUUUCUGUUUAUUUCAGAGAUCUGUCUGGGAAAGUGUGGUGCUUUAGGAUGGCUCCUCAUCCUCCUGGCAGCCAGGACUGCCUUUCAACAUCAACUGAAGGACCCACAGUAAGUACUGAAGAAUAGAAGAACUUCUGCAAUGGGCAUUGAUACUAAGACUGGGCACACCAGCAGUGCUGGGCUUGAAAUCUCUACACCACAAAAGAAGCAGCAUCUGCUGGGAUUGGCAGGUGGAAUUGCAGGUAGGACUGCAGAGAAACAUGCAUUUGGAAAAGGAUGCUGUGGCCCUUGAGAGGCCAUGCCCUGUGCAUUGUGCAGUCUUCACUUUGUACCUUCCUGACCUUGGGCUGGGAGCCCUGUGUAUCCCAACAAUUUUCUUACAGAGCUGUUUAAGAGACCAGCUCUGCUCUUGGCCUCAGUUUUCACCAGGUCAUCCCUGGAGAGUUCCAUACAUCCCCAUUUCCCAAUCUGACCUCAUGUCUGAGUGAAGCAGCCUGGUGCCUCAGUUCUGACAGGCUGAUCUCAGCAGUGGGGGUGGAUAGUGAGGAAAUGAUGCUCCUAGGAAGUGAAAGUCUGUACUCUGAUGGGGGGUUAGGUUUUCUUUUCCUACACCAAGAAAGUGAAAAGUCCUGUUUUGCAUAUAGCAAGCCUGCUUUUGGCUAAUGCACUUGCCAGAGAUUUGGAUAUUCCCCCAAGUACAAUCCCUGCUAAACAGAGAGUGCUACAGACAAGUUCUCCACAAUCACCAGUGCAGAUCCUUAAAAGCAACAAAAUCCAUAUUUUUCUGCUUGUAGGAAUUUUUCUAUCCCUUGUGACUUUUGGUUUCGCCGUAACGUUACAUGGAGGAGAUUAAAGGAAAAUGUUUCCUAGCUCCAGAAUUUCCCUUUGGGACCCCUAUUAACAAAAAAAGUCUUGUAGUUGUGAAACCUGUUGACUGGCUUUGCUGUGACAUAAAACAGGCACCUCCAGUUCUCUGGGUAUUCAGUAACAGUGUGAGUGCUUCUGAGAUUUGAGAUACUGUCAGCAAAAGCUUUUUUUAUAUCUGAGCUUCAUUUUUUUAUGAGAGCUGUGCCAAAGCAGCCUAUGCAUAAGAAGUAAUAUGUCCAUCUCCCCUUGAACUUUCAGGGUUAAUGUUUCACAACUUAAAAAGUUAAAAUAGCCCUUUGUUGUAAAACUACAUCCCUGGUAGAAAUAAACAUUUCUCUGGC